ACCAGAUGGCUACACCAGGCCCCAAUCUGAUUUGGCAGAGUUUCUACAGCCAAAUCAGAUUGGAGCCUGGUGUAGCCAAUGUUUCUA
rnacentral:pre_miRNA from 1 species